rnacentral:tRNA from 1 species
GCCAGCUUGGCCUAGAGGCAAGGCGUCGCUCUCGUAAAGCGAAGAUCAGUGGUUCGAUUCCGCUAGUUGGCA